UACAGAGGGUGCUAGCGUUGUUCGGAAUCAUUGGGCGUAAAGGGCGUGUAGGCGGUUUGUUAAGUCAUGUGUGAAAGCCCCCGGCUCAACCGGGGAACGACGCAUGAAACUGGCAAGCUAGAGUACCGAAGAGGGGGGUGGAAUUCCGGGUGUAGUGGUGAAAUGCGUAGAUAUCAGGAGGAACACCAGCGGCGAAGGCGGCGCUCUGGGCCGGUACUGACGCUGAGGAGCGAAAGCGUGGGGAUCAAACAGG
rnacentral:rRNA from 1 species